ACGAACGCUGGCGGCGUGCUUAACACAUGCAAGUCGAACGGAAAGGCCCUGCUUUUGUGGGGUGCUCGAGUGGCGAACGGGUGAGUAACACGUGAGUAACCUGCCCUUGACUUUGGGAUAACUUCAGGAAACUGGGGCUAAUACCGGAUAGGAGCUCCUGCUGCCUGGUGGGGGUUGGAAAGUUUCGGCGGUUGGGGAUGGACUCGCGGCUUAUCAGCUUGUUGGUGGGGUAGUGGCUUACCAAGGCUUUGACGGGUAGCCGGCCUGAGAGGGUGACCGGCCACAUUGGGACUGAGGUACGGCCCAGACUCCUACGGGAGGCAGCAGUGGGGAAUAUUGCACAAUGGGCGGAAGCCUGAUGCAGCGACGCCGCGUGCGGGAUGACGGCCUUCGGGUUGUAAACCGCUUUCGCCUGUGACGAAGCGUGAGUGACGGUAAUGGGUAAGGAAGCACCGGCUAACUACGUG
rnacentral:rRNA from 1 species